GCCAACCUAGCUCAGUUGGUAGAGCAAUUCACUCGUAAUGAAUAGGUCAGGGGUUCAAGUCCCCUGGUUGGCUC
rnacentral:tRNA from 1 species